UGCCGCACAACCUGGCUUCAGAGGUACCAC
rnacentral:piRNA from 1 species